rnacentral:rRNA from 1 species
UACAGAGGGGGCGAGCGUUAUUCGGAAUUAUUGGGCGUAAAGGGCGCGUAGGCGGCCUUUCAAGUGACGGGUGAAAUCCCUCGGCUUAACCGAGGAACUGCCUGUCAGACUGGAAGGCUUGAGACCGGGAGAGGUGAGUGGAAUUCUCAGUGUAGCGGUGAAAUGCGUAGAUAUUGGGAGGAACACCAGUGGCGAAGGCGGCUCACUGGGGCUUUUCUGACGCUGAGGAACGAAAGCCAGGGUAGCGAACGGG